rnacentral:rRNA from 1 species
AUUGAACGCUGGCGGCAGGCCUAACACAUGCAAGUCGAACGAGUGGCGGACGGGUGAGUAAUGUCUGGGAAACUGCCUGAUGGAGGGGGAUAACUACUGGAAACAGUAGCUCAUACCGCAUACCAUCGGAUGUGCCCAGAUGGGAUUAACUAGUAGGUGGGGUAAAGGCUCACCUAGGCGACGAUCCCUAGCUGGUCUGAGAGGCUGACCAGCCACACUGGAACUGAGACACGGUCCAGACUCCUACGUGAGGCAGCAGUGGGGAAGAUUGCACAAUUGGCGCAAGCCUGAUGCAGCCAUGCCGCGUGUAUGAAGAAGGCCUUCGGGUUGUAAAGUACUUUCAGCGAGGAGGCGUUACUCGCAGAAGAAGCACCGGCUAACUCCGUGCCAGCAGCCGCGGUAAUAC